AACAGUAGAAGAUGCUUGGAGGACAGUUUUCCCCUUUGGGGAAGCAGAAGGAGCCACAGGAUGGAGAGGAAGUGUGAGCAAACUCAGGACCCAGGAGGGUGAGGAGGUGGGUGUUUGGGACUGGGUGUUACUCUGGAGACCUGGAAGGUGAACCAAAGGCAGUUUUAGAGAAAUGGGUGUAUGCAGCUGGGUUCAAUACUUACUGGAAAAUUGUUGAAAAAGGAGAAAAGGAAAGGAAUGCACACAAAAGUAACUGAAGAAGAUAAAAUAAUGGCUUACUUCAAGAUUGUAUUAAAAACCUCCACACUGAGAAAACUGCACUGCAGUCAGAAAAAUCACAGUUAGAGCGGGACAGGCAGAAACUGCUCUGGCAGAAACCAAAGUCCUUGAACUCACUUGAGUUCAGAAAGGAAUUUUCAUGCAGAUCCUGUCUUUGCAAAUCAGCAGCGCCUGCCCUCCCUGAGCCACUGACCCACUGGGCCAUGGGGGAAGUUGCAGACCACAAGUGCUAAUGUCUUUGAAACUCUCUUGCGACAUCUGUGCAGACUGUCAUCGUUCCCUGGGCGUGUACCGGCCAACCCCCACCCCGAGCUCGGCUUUGUGCUCUGACCAACGGAACGAGUAUGCCCGACACACACGUGUGGGCAGGGGCUGGGUUGUGCUUGCAGGGGUUGGCUUGGCCUCUUGUGCUUCUGCCAUGAGAAAGAAGAACAUGCCCCAGGGAGCGCUCCUCCUUCACCUGGGACCCAGAGCAGAAUAAGGGACGCAUUGUGGAACAGACCUGGAUCAGACCCAGGGCCCAGCGUGGAACCGCCACAGCUGACUUGUAGACCGGAGAGCGCGAGUCUGCAAGCCGCUGAGAUUUCCGAGCAAAAGCUAACCCAUCACCUUACAGGAGGAACUCGUUCCAGAGUUUGACACACGCUAAGUAUUGUGGAGAGUCCGCAUUACGAGGUAGUAAGUCCCCAGGCACAGCUGAGAGAGCAUAUUGACUGUUACAGUCACUCCCACUGUCUUUAUCUAAUGGUUUGAGGCCGGAACAGGUACCGGACAGAGGACAGGGCGAAAGCUUAUCACCUUCAGACCCUGGCUCUCCAACUCCAGGAGGGAGCGGGGGUUGGGUGAGUGUGGGGAAGGUCGGAGGGAUUGUACCAAUUGCCAACAACCCCUAGCCUGAUGCCCGUAGACAGGAGGGGCUGGCCAUCCCACUGCGGCCCCCAAACCCGCCCCUCGAUUCCUCCAGCAGCCUGCUCCUCCACUCCUGAGUCUUCCUGAAGUGCAAGUUCAUGUCUUUGAGAUAUCAUUUGAGGCUGGGAAGGGUGGUCAGGGGCUCUGUGCUCCUGAAUACAAAGAUGGGCCCAAAGUUCGGGGCAGCAUUUUGCACACCCAGCUCUUGCUAUUUGCUUGUUAUCCCCCACAGCGCGUGCUAUCUUGUCACUGUCACUUUUGUGUACUUUGUGCACGUGGGGAGGAAGCACAUCUGAAUCAUGUCUGGCUCAGGGUAGGUCCUCAAUAAAUGUUUGAAAAAAACAAA